rnacentral:misc_RNA from 1 species
GGAUAUAGGGGCCUUGGAGCCAAGACAAAGAAUAUUGUUGUUGCCGGAGGUUUAACUGCCUUCGUUUUCGGGGUAUAUUUCUACACGAUGAGAGCUGUUGGAGGUUCAGAUGAACUGCAAGUAGCCAUAGACCAAUUUGAAGCACAGAAAAGCAACAAAGAUUAGAACCAUGAACCUUGUUUUUUCAUUGAUAUUCUUGAGACCACAACAAUGACGAAGCCAUUGAAACACCACUGAGUUUGACUCUUUUUUACUGCCUUAUAGCUCUGUGAAAAUAACGAAUUUAUCGCCCUUUAU